rnacentral:rRNA from 1 species
GACGAACGCUGGCGGCGUGCUUAACACAUGCAAGUCGAACGGAAAGGCCCUGCUUUUGUGGGGUGCUCGAGUGGCGAACGGGGGAGUAACACGUGAGUAACCUGCCCUUGACUUUGGGAUAACUUCAGGAAACUGGGGCUAAUACCGGAUAGGAGCUCCUGCUGCAUGGUGGGGGUUGGAAAGUUUCGGCGGUUGGGGAUGGACUCGCGGCUUAUCAGCUUGUUGGUGGGGUAGUGGCUUACCAAGGCUUUGACGGGUAGCCGGCCUGAGAGGGUGACCGGCCACAUUGGGACUGAGAUACGGCCCAGACUCCUACGGGAGGCAGCAGUGGGGAAUAUUGCACAAUGGGCGGGAGCCUGAUGCAGCAACGCCGCGUGCGGGAUGACGGCCUUCGGGUUGUAAACCGCUUUCGCCUGUGACGAAGCGUGAGUGACGGUAAUGGGUAAAGAAGCACCGGCUAACUACGUG